ACGAACGCUGGCGGCGCGCCUAACACAUGCAAGUCGAACGAGAGAUGAGGAGCUUGCUCUUCAGAUCGAGUGGCGAACGGGUGAGUAACGCGUGAGGAACCUGCCUCAAAGAGGGGGACAACAGUUGGAAACGACUGCUAAUACCGCAUAAGCCCACGGCUCGGCAUCGAGCAGAGGGAAAAGGAGCAAUCCGCUUUGAGAUGGCCUCGCGUCCGAUUAGCUAGUUGGUGAGGUAACGGCCCACCAAGGCGACGAUCGGUAGCCGGACUGAGAGGUUGAACGGCCACAUUGGGACUGAGACACGGCCCAGACUCCUACGGGAGGCAGCAGUGGGGAAUAUUGCACAAUGGGGGAAACCCUGAUGCAGCGACGCCGCGUGGAGGAAGAAGGUCUUCGGAUUGUAAACUCCUGUUGUUGAGGAAGAUAAUGACGGUACUCAACAAGGAAGUGACGGCUAACUACGUGCCAGCAGCCGCGGUAAAACGUAGGUCACAAGCGUUGUCCGGAAUUACUGGGUGUAAAGGGAGCGCAGGCGGGAGAACAAGUUGGAAGUGAAAUCCAUGGGCUCAACCCAUGAACUGCUUUCAAAACUGUUUUUCUUGAGUAGUGCAGAGGUAGGCGGAAUUCCCGGUGUAGCGGUGGAAUGCGUAGAUAUCGGGAGGAACACCAGUGGCGAAGGCGGCCUACUGGGCACCAACUGACGCUGAGGCUCGAAAGUGUGGGUAGCAAACAGGAUUAGAUACCCUGGUAGUCCACACCGUAAACGAUGAUUACUAGGUGUUGGAGGAUUGACCCCUUCAGUGCCGCAGUUUACACAAUAAGUAAUCCACCUGGGGAGUACGACCGCAAGGUUGAAACUCAAAGGAAUUGACGGGGGCCCGCACAAGCAGUGGAGUAUGUGGUUUAAUUCGACGCAACGCGAAGAACCUUACCAAGUCUUGACAUCCUGCGACGCACAUAGAAAUAUGUGUUUCCUUCGGGACGCAGAGACAGGUGGUGCAUGGUUGUCGUCAGCUCGUGUCGUGAGAUGUCGGCUUAAGUCCCGCAACGAGCGCAACCCUUAUGGUCAGUUACUACGCAAGAGGACUCUGGCCAGACUGCCGUUGACAAAACGGAGGAAGGUGGGGAUGACGUCAAAUCAUCAUGCCCUUUAUGACUUGGGCUACACACGUACUACAAUGGCGUUAAACAAAGAGAAGCAAGACCGCGAGGUGGAGCAAAACUCAGAAACAACGUCCCAGUUCGGACUGCAGGCUGCAACUCGCCUGCACGAAGUCGGAAUUGCUAGUAAUCGUGGAUCAGCAAAACACGGUGAAUACGUUCCCGGGCCUUGUACACACCGCCCGUCACACCAUGAGAGCCGGGGGGACCC
rnacentral:rRNA from 1 species